AACGAACGCUGGCGGCAGGCUUAACACAUGCAAGUCGAACGCCCCGCAAGGGGAGUGGCAGACGGGUGAGUAACGCGUGGGAAUCUACCGUACCCUACGGAACAACUCCGGGAAACUGGAGUUAAUACCGUAUACGCCCUACGGGGGAAAGAUUUAUCGGGGUAUGAUGAGCCCGCGUUGGAUUAGCUAGUUGGUGGGGUAAAGGCCUACCAAGGCGACGAUCCAUAGCUGGUCUGAGAGGAUGAUCAGCCACAUUGGGACUGAGACACGGCCCAAACUCCUACGGGAGGCAGCAGUGGGGAAUAUUGGACAAUGGGCGCAAGCCUGAUCCAACCAUGCCGCGUGAGUGAUGGAGGUCUUAGGAUUGUAAAGCUCUUUCACCGAUGAAGAUAAUGACGGUAGUCGGAGAAGAAGCCCCGGCUAACUUCGUGCCAGCAGCCGCGGUAAAAC
rnacentral:rRNA from 1 species